CCUGUACAUGAAGUACGUCCACCCAUUCAUCUUUGCUCUGUGCACCAUUAUUCCCAUGGAGCCCGACGAGGUGCUGCGGAAGGGCUCUGGCACGCUAUGUGAGGCCUUGCUGAUGGUGCAGGCCUUCCACGCCAACAUCAUCUUCCCCAACAAGCAAGAGCAGGAGUUCAAUAAGCUGACGGACGACGGACACGUGCUGGACUCUGAGACCUACGUCGGGGGCCACGUGGAGGCCCUCGAGUCUGGGGUUUUCCGCAGCGAUAUCCCUUGCCGGUUUAGGAUGGUGUGCUUCUUCCCUGGGAUUCAGAUUCUUCCCACUCUUGUGCUGUGGUAGGACCCAGAAGCUGCAGGGGCUGAAAUAAAGCC
rnacentral:sRNA from 1 species